GAACCUUGGACCCUUUGCCUCAGGCGGAUGGUGCUGAGAGGCCGCGCUCCGCGGGGACCUUGGGGAAGCCCGGGUGCUCUCUUUUGCACACUUCUAGCUACUUGGAACUGGACAUCCAGAGCCAGCUCGGAAACCAGCUUCUCUUCAUCCUCACUGCCUCCCGCUCCGAGUGGGCUUUUUCUCUCAACUUCUACAGGGGUCUCCACAUCUGGGUGCUGGGAAGGGAGGUCGGCGGCUUAGGACUCUACCUUGGAGCGGCCGAGUUUGAAGACCAAUAUGUAUAUGAAAUCUCUGAAGAAAGAAAAUUGACGUUGCUUUGACCAAUUUAGUUUUGACGCCCAACAUGUGGAAGCUUCUUGCGGAAGAGAUCUGACAUUCUAUUUUUUGUGCCCUGUUCCACGGGGACUUUCUUUACACUGUGUCUGGGAGCAAUAGGCCUUCAACGAAUGGUCAAAACCAGCUGACUCACUUCUGAGGAAGCAACUGAAGUGCUUGUUGUGGUAGCAGGAAGGAUCGAUUGAUGAUUGGAAAGAGGAAAUAAUGCCAUUUGCAGCAACAUGGAUGGACCUAGAGAUUAUCAUUCAGAUUAUCAUUCUGAACUCAGAUCAAGGAACACAGAAGGCAUGUAAGUGGUUCCUAUGGAGACACAAUGCUCCAUCUACCUUGUUGUCUCCAAGAUCAGUUGCUCAUGGUCUAUUGCAACUUGGCAGGAUAAAAUAAACACCAAGGGUGGCACUUAAGAAGAAAAGAAUUAUGAAAUUGAGAGCAAAUGUCCUACACACAAGGGACUUUAACCUCAGAGAGGGGUGACCUGCAGAGGAGCCCUGCCUGAGCCAUGCUGCGGAGGACCAAAUGCCCAUCUGUUCAUGAGCCUGAUCCACUGCCUCACCUCAAGAGUCAGAAGCAAAGCAAGUACUGGACACAGGGGCCAGUUUCAGGGGCUCUGCUGACAUGUCUAAAGGAAACUUCACGUGAUGUUUCCCCAGUGAGAAGUUUCUCGAAUUUUCAGCUUCUUAACUUGUCAAGGAGCUCCUGGAUUUUGGAAUUUGUAUUAUUAAAGCUUCCAGGUAUCUAAUCACUGUCAGAUAUCAGAAUACACUAAAACUUACUUGAACAUCACAAUUUAAAAUCUUAAAAAAUUUGACAUGUAGCCCGGUGUAUAAGGCUUAAAUACCCGUUUCAAUGAAACUUACUUAGAUUUCUGUUUUCAGAUUUGGGAAGCUACAAUCACAGUCACUUAAGAAGUAGGACCCAAUAUACCAUUUCCUAAGGGGUGGCUGCAUAGAGAUUUAUGGGCCUAGGAAAGGCUAGGUAAUGAGGAUGCUCAAUAAAGAGGCACAUUUCACCAGGAAGAAAUUAACCCAAGUUGCCUCACAAAUGAGAAGAAACAUAUCUCCUCCAUCACAUGGUGUACUUUCCAUGGUCUUUGCUCUACUCAUUUUAUGAGCAUUUUGAUAAAAAAAUAUAUGGUACAUUUUAUUAUCUCUCAUAUUUUCCAAUAAAUACAAACCUGGCAUGCUUUUUCUCUCUUUUCCAUGCUUCUCAGAUAUGUGAUGAUCAUUCAGUAAGAGAAGAGCUCUGAAAUACUUAUGUCUUAGUCCAUUUGGAAUGCAGUGACAAAAUACCACAGACUGGGUAGUUGAAAAACAACAUGCACUUAUUGCUCAUGACUCUGGAGGCUGGAAAUCCAGGAUCAGAGUGUCAGUGAGGUAGGGUGAGGGCUCUCUUCCAGGUCACAGACUUAUUUAUUUAUUUAUUUGUCUUUUUAGGGCCGAACUCAUGGUAUAUGGAAGUUCCCAGCCUAGGGGUUGAACUGAAGCUGCAGCUGCCAGUCUACACACAGCUACAGAAACUUGGGAUGCAAGCUGCGUCUGUGACCUAUACCACAGUCACAGCUCACAGCAACGCCGGAUCUUUGACCCACUGAGUGAGGCCAGGGAUUGAAUUCACGUCCUCAUGGAUACUAGUUGAGUUCAUUACCACUGAGCCACGAUGGGAACACCAAGAUCACAGACCUAUAUCCUCACACAGUGGAAGGGGCUUAAGAGCUUUCUGGAGCCUCUUCCAUAAGGCACCAAUCGCCUCCCAGAGGUCUCAUCUCCUAAUACUAUCACCUUUAGAGUUUAGGAUUCAACUUGUGGAUUUGGGGGUGAUACACUGAGAUACCACGAUUUAUAAAAAAAAAAUUUAUUUGGUCGUUCAGAUGACCAAAAUACACUUUUCAUCUAUAUUUGGUCUUUGUUCAGUUUCUGGCUCAUAGCUCCCCAAACCCUAGGAAUUUCCUAAGUGUUAAGGGUGAUAAAAACUGCCUUUUGUUAUGUUAAUAGGACAACUUUUGGAAAACACCUAAGAAUGGGGCUGGUUGCCAGGAGAACCAAUCAGGGUUGUAACUUUCAGGGUCCUUCCACUCCCCUCUCCAAUCCCUAGGAAGAGGGAAGUCCUGGAGUUUGAAUUAAUCAAAAAUGGCUAAUGAUUUAAUCAAUUAUGCCUAUGUGAUGAAGCCACCAUAAAAACCUAAGAGGAUAAACUUUGGAGAGUUUCCAGGUUGGUGAACAGAUGAGAUUGGGGAGUGGCACAUCUGGAGAGGGCAUGGAAGCUCUGAGCCCUUUUUUCUUAUUUCACCCAAUGCAUCUCUUCUGUCUGGCUGUUUCUGAACUAUAUCCUUUUAUAAUAAACCGGUACUUUAGUAAGUAAAAUGUUUCUAUGAGUU
rnacentral:lncRNA from 1 species